rnacentral:rRNA from 1 species
GACGAACCGUGCAAACGUUGUUCGGAAUCACUGGGCGUAAAGCGCACGUAGGCGGCUUUUUAAGUCAGGGGUGAAAUCCUGGAGCUCAACUCCAGAACUGCCUUUGAUACUGGCGAUCUUGAGUCCGGGAGAGGUGAGUGGAACUGCGAGUGUAGAGGUGAAAUUCGUAGAUAUUCGCAAGAACACCAGUGGCGAAGGCGGCUCACUGGCCCGGUACUGACGCUGAGGUGCGAAAGCGUGGGGAGCAAACAGG